rnacentral:rRNA from 1 species
GACGAGGGGUCCAAGCGUUGUUCGGAAUCAUUGGGCGUAAAGCGGGUGUAGGUGGCUCUAUAAGUCAGAAGUGAAAGCCCCGGGCUUAACCCGGGAAGUGCUUUUGAUACUGCAGAGCUUGAAUGUGGGAGAGGGUAGUGGAAUUCCAGGUGUAGUGGUGAAAUACGUAGAUAUCAGGAGGAACACCGGCGGUGUAGACGGCUUUCUGGACCGUAGCUGACGCUGAGACACGAAAGCGUGGGUAGCAAACAGG